rnacentral:lncRNA from 1 species
CUUACCAUGUGCUAAGUAUCCACUGGGCUCCGGGCGAGACUGAUGGGUUAAUACACGGGAGGGGGGGGGGGGGAGGACAUAAGGGACCAGGACCUCAGUGAGGCCCCAGAAAGCUCACAGGAGGGGCCUCCGAUCCUGCCUGGGGAGGGAGGGGUUAGAGAAGGAUUCCUGGAAGAAGGAGGACCUAAGCUGAGUGUUUCUAUUUUUAAUUUUUAUUGGUUUCCUAAAACAUAAAGGU